rnacentral:rRNA from 1 species
UACAGAGGUGGCAAGCGUUGUUCGGAAUUACUGGGCGUAAAGGGCGCGUAGGCGGUCCGAUAAGUCCCGUGUGAAAGCCCCCGGCUCAACUGGGGAGGGUCACGCGAUACUGAUCGACUUGAAGGCAGGAGAGGGAAGCGGAAUUCCCGGUGUAGUGGUGAAAUGCGUAGAUAUCGGGAGGAACACCAGUGGCGAAGGCGGCUUCCUGGCCUGUUCUUGACGCUGAGGCGCGAAAGCUAGGGGAGCAAACGGG